rnacentral:rRNA from 1 species
AACGAACGCUGGCGGCAUGCCUAACACAUGCAAGUCGAACGAAGCCUUCGGGCUUAGUGGCGCACGGGUGCGUAACACGUGGGAAUCUGCCCUUCGGUUCGGAAUAACAGUUAGAAAUGACUGCUAAUACCGGAUGAUGACGAAAGUCCAAAGAUUUAUCGCCGAAGGAUGAGCCCGCGUAGGAUUAGGUAGUUGGUAGGGUAAUGGCCUACCAAGCCGACGAUCCUUAGCUGGUCUGAGAGGAUGAUCAGCCACACUGGGACUGAGACACGGCCCAGACUCCUACGGGAGGCAGCAGUGGGGAAUAUUGGACAAUAGGGCGAAAGCCUGAUCCAGCAAUGCCGCGUGAGUGAUGAAGGCCUUAGGGUUGUAAAGCUCUUUUACCAGGGAUGAUAAUGACAGUACCUGGAGAAUAAGCUCCGGCUAACUCCGUG